ensembl:lncRNA
UCAGUGGUCCGAUUAUCACUGAGACCACUAUUGCCUUUACCCUCCACAUCUUCUCAAUCUCUUCUCUGAGCCCUUGGUAUUUCUCCAGUUUCUCAUGUUCCUUCUUCCUGAUGUUGCUGUUCUGAUAUUGUUCCCCUGCCACUGGGAGUAUACCAGAUGGUUCCAUGGAAUAGAGCUGGUUUAUUCUUCUGCCUUCUAGCACUCUGUACUUGGGGCUUGAUGAUGGUUUGUGGACUCAGGGCUGGUCUUCUGUACGUGAUCCAGAGCUGGAAGGUGUGUUAGGUCCUACAGAACCAAAACAAAGGGUUUGUGAAAAUCACAAUGAAUGUUUCUGGGAAGCAGAGCACAAAUCUGAUUGGUUGGUCCUAAUAUCAGACAGAUAUUAUCACUUUGCAAGAUAAAUUCAUGAAACUUCAUAGGUGGGUAGAUGAUAUCAAGUUUAGGUUUCAGAGAUAACAAAGGGGUCGGCUGAUUAUGGAAUCUAUUCUACAGCUAUAGAAGAACAGCUUUAAAAAAGCAUGCGUUCAAACAAAUUGCAUAACUUCCCCCAAACUAAAUGCUACAUGAUACUAAAAUAUUGUCUAAAGAUUUAAUUCAGUAUCCUUGAUGUCAAAACAUUUUUUAAUUAAGAAAAUAUAAAUGCAAAUGUGGAAAAAACAACCGGUCUAUGUUUAAAGAAGAUGCAGUGCAUCACUGCAGUCACUGCAUUUUGUAUCAGAUGAAGAUGUAGGUGAAAGAAAAAAAAUAAGGUCAAACCAAAUGUUUUACUCUGUAAUGUGCUGGUGGGCAAAUGUGUUUCAAAGAAAGCAAAGGAAUACAAACCACUUUCAUGCUGCAGUUAACAUGAAUGAUAAAACUUCUCAAUGUACUUGAGUGUAUUCAAGUUAUUUACAUCUGAAACUGAACAUGCACUUUGCAUACUCUUGCUGCCAGUUGCAUUUCUUCAUUGUUAAAUCACCAUUUUAUCUGUUAUCGUCUUGUCAUUUGCUUGUGUGUCACUGAAAGUGCACCACUACAUUAAAAAGUCUCACACACCUUAUAGUGGUUGUAUUUUUUUAAAGAGAGCACAUGAACCCCAGAAAACCACAUACAUGAACAUAGAGAUAAAAUCUGCUCAGCAGCAAACAAAACCACUUCACUGGCGAUGUGUUGAUAAGAUGCACUGAAUGUCACAAAGUAGUUUACUAGGAAAGCAUGAUAUAAAUCUACAACCACAAAAAAAUCCCCUGUAUGUGACACUAAUGUCAGUCUCUCAUCCAACAGAAACACCUGAUUUUACAUGGUUCACCUUUCUGCUGUAUCUAAUAAUACUGUCCAUUAUCUACUCUCCAGUGCAAAGUAAAGACACUACAGUCUUAGAGAGAGGAGGUUAUUUUCCCCAGAUCACUUGGAAGACUUUUUAAAAUCCUAAAAUCUAUCUUGAGGCAUAAUAAAAGCCAAAUCACACAAUCCUUUAGUAUGCUAUUCUACAAAAAAGUAACAGAACAAGAACGGGUUCUGAUAUAUAUGUGACUGAAGUCACUGGUGUUGAUUUUCAUCCUUGCUGUUAUUGUGACAAAAAUUAUUUCCAGUAUGGUUUGCAUCCUCCAUCUCUGAGCCUCAUCUUUACAAACCUGCUGUUCGUUUAAUGGGUUUCAGGAUAUUUGAAUCGGUGUCCUGUUGAAGGGGAUCAUAAUGAAGUCAUUUCAGUAAUUUCACCCACCUGUGGAUCGAGAGAAGCGAGACGAUGGCAAUGACAAAAUACUUCUAUCAUCUGAAGUUCUUCAGAGCAUGAGGCGUGUGAUUGUGGCCCUGCACCAGUUCUACUGGUUUGGAGCUCAGAUGUGUCUUGUUGACCCUGGACGAGGAACAAGAAAAAGUGCACAUAAAGCUGAGUUUUGAGUUCAUCCUUCGAGUCUGAGUGUCUGCACCUUGGGUCCUACUCCGGCCUGCCACACAGCGUUUCAUGACAGAAAGAACAAGACUGAAACAUCUGAUUGUAACCGUGAUUGUAGCUGGAAAAUGAGAGUAAAUGUUUUCUACAAACUUGUAAAUUUUUCAGAAAUACUUUGUACCUUUACUUUUUGUUUGAUGUUAAAAGGUCCUUUAAUUUAGGGUUGAAGUUUGACGACUCUAUUUAAUCUAUCAUAGAGAAUUGAGUGUGAAGAAAAGGGCUCAACAUCCAGUCUUACAUUUGAGUUAUACGAUUAAAGAUAGAAUCAUAGUCUGAUGAAAAUAUUGAGUUCUAAUGUCUAGAUUCUGUGUCGCUAGACAUAAUCCAGCUUCAAUCUUUCAUAUUCAUGCCUGGGUGUGACUGGAAAGAUAAGAACUGUUUCACCGACCCAUUAUCAUCAUCAUCACUGUGUUGCCACGAUUAAACACAGAAUUGUAGUUCAUUAGAGAUUGAGCUGACAGUUAAUUAUGUUUAAUAUUGAUCAGAAUAUAAUCCGGAAAAUGUGUAAGUUUAAUAAGGAUGGGAGUUAGACAACAUAAUGGUGAUUCUAACAACUGGCCUUUCAGUGAAGUGUAGAAACGGUGUGUGUGCACUCUGAUCUCUGAAAGUCUGACUUUAAAAAUUUAUGAUUUUCUAUAUUAUAAAUUCUAUAUUAUAGAUCACAGUAAAAAGGUUAAGCAGUGUAAGAAUAGAUUAUCGUAGUAUUAGGGAUUUAGUUGUAUUAACGAUAGUAAAGCAUUAUAUCCAUUAUUCAUUUAAGUAGGUCAUAGGUCAAGCUGCUAAACAUUCACACAUAGAGCACAUAGAACUGGGAGAAUAGGUCAGAGGUGUACGUGAGAAGCAGAGACGACAGAGCUGCCGUUAGUGGGAUGAGGAGUUGGUAAGCUAAAGCAAGGAGAACAUAGUGUGUGGAGAAGUGGGCAGCAAGGACACGAG